CAGGAUUUAGUAUAAUAAGUAUUUCAGCUUUGGGUGCUGAGGGUUCCUUUCCGGAAGUCUUGA
rnacentral:tRNA from 1 species